rnacentral:misc_RNA from 1 species
UUUCCGUAGGUGAACCUGCGGAAGGAUCAUUACCGAGUGAGGGCCCUCUGGGUCCAACCUCCCACCCGUGUUUAUUUUACCUUGUUGCUUCGGCGGGCCCGCCUUAACUGGCCGCCGGGGGGCUCACGCCCCCGGGCCCGCGCCCGCCGAAGACACCCUCGAACUCUGUCUGAAGAUUGAAGUCUGAGUGAAAAUAUAAAUUAUUUAAAACUUUCAACAACGGAUCUCUUGGUUCCG